AACGUUUAGCCUUUUAUAUCCAAUUGGCCCAUAUGUAAAUAUAUGUCUAUGCACUAAAUGUUUAAAUUGACUAAAGCUCAAAGAAAACAUAAUUGUUGUCAAUGUAAAGCAUGAAUAUUAAUUAACAUCAUUUUUAUUUUAAUAUAUUCAUCAUAAUAAUAAUGUAAUCAUCACAAUAAUAUUACAUUCACAUGUUAUAAUUAUCAUUGAGAACACAUGCGA
rnacentral:misc_RNA from 1 species